GCUUCAGGAGGAUCAGAGAUCAUCUUCAGCAUAGCAGACAUCACACAGAGAGCUGUGCUACUGAGCUUCCAGGAGAUCAAGAGGAGACUUCCCACAGCAAAAUCUUAAAUAAAAUGAGAGACUCAACGUUGACGCUGAGGAAGACAACUAAGGUGUACGACGUGCUCUGCCUUAAAUCUUCAGCAGCGUUGGAACAUGAAAACUCGAGGGAUGGAGAGAGCGUGCCAAGCUCUAAAAGUGACAGCGAAGAGGAAGUCCAGUGAUGGAAUUGUGAUUCUGUGUGAGGCACAAAUACUAGGAGACUGGGAAAUAGUUGACACCAUUUUUCCCAAGGAUGAAGAUCACCUGAAGUGUCUCACUUUGCCAUGCAGAUUUGAUGCUCUGCAGGGAAGCCUUCUGUGAGGGAGAGAUUGAAUUGCCCAGAGACAGACCUGAAUCCAUUCCAGCGACUCCACUAUCACAGGCCACGGUGAAGCGAACCAAACGUAGUGAAACAGGUAAAUCAGAUGAGCGUUUUGAUUAUUAUGGCAGUGCAGAGUUGGACUACGUUAAAGGGUCCAAAAUCUCGCGUACAAAAACGGAUGGCGUUAGAUAUGUUGUUGGGAUAAAAAGGGGGCGUUUGUGCGAUGUUUGGGGAUAUGUAUGGUAUUUUUAUUUCAAAUAACACAGUUCCUGACGGCUCUGUGAUCUGAGUUCUGGAAGGCCUAAAGACGUCCACCGCAAUGUAGGAGCAUUCGGGAUUAGAUGACCCGCUGGAAGCGUCGAUGACCUCUGUCUUUGGGCAAUGGAAAGGUUUUAUUAUGUUAAUUAUGGUUUCUUUGUCUGUUUUUAUUGCAGUAUUAGUGACAUGUUGGUGUUGUUGUGUGCCUUGUAUCAGAGCUUUGCUUGUAAGACUCAUCAAUCGUGCUGUGGGAGACUCUGAUACAAAGGCACACACCAUGAUGCCACUUUUGGGAAAUGGGGAGUCACAGUAUGGAAACAUUUUGGUGAAAGAUUUAGUUUAGUUUUAUCUGCCAUAGAGCAGAUAAAAAAGGGGGACUUGUAGAAUAUUUAGCUGGUUUAGAGUUUAGAAAUGUGUUAACAUAGAAUGUAGA
ensembl:lncRNA